GAUGAACGCUGGCGGCGUGCCUAAUACAUGCAAGUCGAGCGAACAGAUGAGGAGCUUGCCCCGCUGACGUUAGCGGCGGACGGGUGAGUAACACGUGGAUAACCUACAUAUAAGACUGGGAUAACUUCGGGAAACCGGAGCUAAUACCGGAUAAUAUAUUGAACCGCAUGGUUCAAUAGUGAAAGACGGUUUUGCUGUCACUUAUAGAUGGAUCCGCGCCGCAUUAGCUAGUUGGUAAGGUAACGGCUUACCAAGGCAACGAUGCGUAGCCGACCUGAGAGGGUGAUCGGCCACACUGGAACUGAGACACGGUCCAGACUCCUACGGGAGGCAGCAGUAGGGAAUCUUCCGCAAUGGGCGAAAGCCUGACGGAGCAACGCCGCGUGAGUGAUGAAGGUCUUCGGAUCGUAAAGCUCUGUUAUUAGGGAAGAACAAAUGUGUAAGUAACUAUUCACGUCUUGACGGUACCUAAUCAGAAAGCCCCGGCUAACUACGUG
rnacentral:rRNA from 1 species